rnacentral:rRNA from 1 species
UACGUAGGUGGCAAGCGUUGUCCGGAUUUACUGGGCGUAAAGAGCGCGCAGGCGGUCGUGCAAGUCGCUUGUGAAAGCCCCCGGCUCAACUGGGGAGGGUCACGCGAUACUGCUCGACUUGAAGGCAGGAGAGGGAAGUGGAAUUCCCGGUGUAGUGGUGAAAUGCGUAGAUAUCGGGAGGAACACCAGUGGCGAAGGCGACCUCCUGGCAUGUUCUUGACGCUGAGGCGCGAAAGCUAGGGUAGCAAACGGG